GUAACGUGUGUGUGUCUUCCGUUGCAGAGAGGUCGCUUAUUGACAAGGGGAGAAGGUGACUCCUCGACGGACAAGAGCAGUACUCGAUUAAAUCUAACAAGAAACACAAAAGAAGACGGUUGUUUGCCAAUUAAGCAACCAUGUCUUCGUUUGGGAGGGCUUUGGGAGUCCUCAGAACAGGAUCCCGGCUCAUUAGACGAGGCCCUCAAAGAAUAACGACCAGAAAGGCUGGUGACGCACCCCACAUUGAGGCUCAGUACAGACAAUAUCCACAAAUCACGAAGAAACAAAAGUUUCAGUCGGAGCUACUAAGCGGUGCUAUGUGGUUUUGGAUUCUUUGGCACUGUUGGCAUGAACCUGAUGCAGUCCUGGGUCACUUCCCUUGGCCUGACGCUUCUGAAUGGACAGAUGAGGAGUUGGGAAUCCCACCAAUCGACGAGGAAUGAGGUCACCAUGGAGGGAUUCAAGCUGCUGGACAAGUCUUUGUGGAAGUCUUCACGAUGUUCUGAGAGUCAUUGUUGUACAUAAAAUAAUAAAACAAUCUAUAAAUAUGUUAAA